UACGUAGGGUGCGAGCGUGAAUCGGAAUUACUGGGCGUAAAGCGUGCGCAGGCGGUCUGUUAAGACCGAUGUGAAAUCCCCGGGCUUAACCUGGGAACUGCAUCGGUGACUGGCAGGCUUUGAGUGUGGCAGAGGGAGGUAGAAUUCCACGUGUAGCAGUGAAAUGCGUAGAGAUGUGGAGGAAUACCGAUGGCGAAGGCAGCCUCCUGGGCCAACACUGACGCUCAUGCACGAAAGCGUGGGGAGCAAACAGG
rnacentral:rRNA from 1 species